GCCUUGGUAGUUAAGUGGCUAUAACACUAGCCUGUCGCGCUGGAGUCCCGGGUUCAAUUCCCGGUCAGGGCG
rnacentral:tRNA from 1 species